UGCAGUCGAGCGCGAACGGGGACUUCGGUUCCUUAGUAGAGCGGCGAACGGGUGAGUAACACGUGGGUAAUCUGCCUCCGGGUGGGGAAUAACUCAGGGAAACUUGAGCUAAUUCCGCAUAACGUGGCCGAUCACAGGAUCGGCUACCAAAGCUGGGGACCCUUCGGGGCCUGGCGCCUGGAGAGGAGCCCGCGGCCAAUUAGCUUGUUGGUGAGGUAAUGGCUCACCAAGGCUCCGAUUGGUAGCCGGCCUGAGAGGGCGGACGGUCACACUGGAACUGAGACACGGUCCAGACUCCUACGGGAGGCAGCAGUGAGGAAUUUUCGUCAAUGGGGGAAACCCUGAACGAGCAACGCCGCGUGGAGGACGAAGACCUUCGGGUUGUAAACUCCUGUCGGACGGGACGAAAGUUAUCGAGGUUAAUACCCUUGGUAGUUGACGGUACCGUACGAGGAAGCCCCGGCUAACUUCGUGCCAGCAGCCGCGGUAAUACGAGGGGGGCAAGCGUUGUUCGGAAUUACUGGGCGUAAAGGGCGCGUAGGCGGUCUGACAAGUCUUCCGUGAAAGCCCACGGCUCAACCGUGGAACUGC
rnacentral:rRNA from 1 species